UACGAAGGGGGCUAGCGUUGCUCGGAAUCACUGGGCGUAAAGGGCGCGUAGGCGGCCGUUCAAGUCGGGGGUGAAAGCCUGUGGCUCAACCACAGAAUUGCCUUCGAUACUGUACGGCUCGAGACCGGAAGAGGUGAGUGGAACUGCGAGUGUAGAGGUGAAAUUCGUAGAUAUUCGCAAGAACACCAGUGGCGAAGGCGGCUCACUGGUCCGGUUCUGACGCUCAGGCACGAAAGCGUGGGGAGCAAACAGG
rnacentral:rRNA from 1 species